UUAAGCGACUAAGCGUACACGGUGGAUGCCCUGGCAGUCAGAGGCGAUGAAGGACGUGCUAAUCUGCGAUAAGCGUCGGUAAGGUGAUAUGAACCGUUAUAACCGGCGAUUUCCGAAUGGGGAAACCCAGUGUGUUUCGACACACUAUCAUUAACUGAAUCCAUAGGUUAAUGAGGCGAACCGGGGGAACUGAAACAUCUAAGUACCCCGAGGAAAAGAAAUCAACCGAGAUUCCCCCAGUAGCGGCGAGCGAACGGGGAGCAGCCCAGAGCCUGAAUCAGURUGUGUGUUAGUGGAAGCGUCUGGAAAGGCGYGCGAUACAGGGUGACAGCCCCGUACACAAAAAUGCACAURYUGUGAGCUCGAUGAGUAGGGCGGGACACGUGGUAUCCUGUCUGAAUAUGGGGGGACCAUCCUCCAAGGCUAAAUACUCCUGACUGACCGAUAGUGAACCAGUACCGUGAGGGAAAGGCGAAAAGAACCCCGGCGAGGGGAGUGAAAAAGAACCUGAAACCGUGUACGUACAAGCAGUGGGAGCACGCUUAGGCGUGUGACUGCGUACCUUUUGUAUAAUGGGUCAGCGACUUAUAUUCUGUAGCAAGGUUAACCGAAUAGGGGAGCCGAAGGGAAACCGAGUCUUAACUGGGCGUUAAGUUGCAGGGUAUAGACCCGAAACCCGGUGAUCUAGCCAUGGGCAGGUUGAAGGUUGGGUAACACUAACUGGAGGACCGAACCGACUAAUGUUGAAAAAUUAGCGGAUGACUUGUGGCUGGGGGUGAAAGGCCAAUCAAACCGGGAGAUAGCUGGUUCUCCCCGAAAGCUAUUUAGGUAGCGCCUCGUGAAUUCAUCUCCGGGGGUAGAGCACUGUUUCGGCAAGGGGGUCAUCCCGACUUACCAACCCGAUGCAAACUGCGAAUACCGGAGAAUGUUAUCACGGGAGACACACGGCGGGUGCUAACGUCCGUCGUGAAGAGGGAAACAACCCAGACCGCCAGCUAAGGUCCCAAAGUCAUGGUUAAGUGGGAAACGAUGUGGGAAGGCCCAGACAGCCAGGAUGUUGGCUUAGAAGCAGCCAUCAUUUAAAGAAAGCGUAAUAGCUCACUGGUCGAGUCGGCCUGCGCGGAAGAUGUAACGGGGCUAAACCAUGCACCGAAGCUGCGGCAGCGACGCUGAUGCGUUGUUGGGUAGGGGAGCGUUCUGUAAGCCUGCGAAGGUGUGCUGUGAGGCAUGCUGGAGGUAUCAGAAGUGCGAAUGCUGACAUAAGUAACGAUAAAGCGGGUGAAAAGCCCGCUCGCCGGAAGACCAAGGGUUCCUGUCCAACGUUAAUCGGGGCAGGGUGAGUCGACCCCUAAGGCGAGGCCGAAAGGCGUAGUCGAUGGGAAACAGGUUAAUAUUCCUGUACUUGGUGUUACUGCGAAGGGGGGACGGAGAAGGCUAUGUUGGCCGGGCGACGGUUGUCCCGGUUUAAGCGUGUAGGCUGGUUUUCCAGGCAAAUCCGGAAAAUCAAGGCUGAGGCGUGAUGACGAGGCACUACGGUGCUGAAGCAACAAAUGCCCUGCUUCCAGGAAAAGCCUCUAAGCAUCAGGUAACAUCAAAUCGUACCCCAAACCGACACAGGUGGUCAGGUAGAGAAUACCAAGGCGCUUGAGAGAACUCGGGUGAAGGAACUAGGCAAAAUGGUGCCGUAACUUCGGGAGAAGGCACGCUGAUAUGUAGGUGAAGUCCCUCGCGGAUGGAGCUGAAAUCAGUCGAAGAUACCAGCUGGCUGCAACUGUUUAUUAAAAACACAGCACUGUGCAAACACGAAAGUGGACGUAUACGGUGUGACGCCUGCCCGGUGCCGGAAGGUUAAUUGAUGGGGUYAGCCGCAAGGCGAAGCUCUUGAUCGAAGCCCCGGUAAACGGCGGCCGUAACUAUAACGGUCCUAAGGUAGCGAAAUUCCUUGUCGGGUAAGUUCCGACCUGCACGAAUGGCGUAAUGAUGGCCAGGCUGUCUCCACCCGAGACUCAGUGAAAUUGAACUCGCUGUGAAGAUGCAGUGUACCCGCGGCAAGACGGAAAGACCCCGUGAACCUUUACUAUAGCUUGACACUGAACAUUGAGCCUUGAUGUGUAGGAUAGGUGGGAGGCUUKGAAGUGUGGACGCCAGUCUGCAUGGAGCCGACCUUGAAAUACCACCCUUUAAUGUUUGAUGUUCUAACGUKGACCCGURAUCCGGGUUGCGGACAGUGUCUGGUGGGUAGUUUGACUGGGGCGGUCUCCUCCUAAAGAGUAACGGAGGAGCACGAAGGUUGGCUAAUCCUGGUCGGACAUCAGGAGGUUAGUGCAAUGGCAUAAGCCAGCUUGACUGCGAGCGUGACGGCGCGAGCAGGUGCGAAAGCAGGUCAUAGUGAUCCGGUGGUUCUGAAUGGAAGGGCCAUCGCUCAACGGAUAAAAGGUACUCCGGGGAUAACAGGCUGAUACCGCCCAAGAGUUCAUAUCGACGGCGGUGUUUGGCACCUCGAUGUCGGCUCAUCACAUCCUGGGGCUGAAGUAGGUCCCAAGGGUAUGGCUGUUCGCCAUUUAAAGUGGUACGCGAGCUGGGUUUAGAACGUCGUGAGACAGUUCGGUCCCUAUCUGCCGUGGGCGCUGGAGAACUGAGGGGGGCUGCUCCUAGUACGAGAGGACCGGAGUGGACGCAUCACUGGUGUUCGGGUUGUCAUGCCAAUGGCACUGCCCGGUAGCUAAAUGCGGAAGAGAUAAGUGCUGAAAGCAUCUAAGCACGAAACUUGCCCCGAGAUGAGUUCUCCCUGACCCUUUAAGGGUCCUGAAGGAACGUUGAAGACGACGACGUUGAUAGGCCGGGUGUGUAAGCGCAGCGAUGCGUUGAGCUAACCGGUACUAAUGAACCGUGAGGCUUAACCUU
rnacentral:rRNA from 1 species